rnacentral:rRNA from 1 species
UGAGUAACCUGCCCUUGACCCUGGAAUAACAGCUGGAAACAGCUGCUAAUACCGGAUAUGACCUCCGAUGGCAUCAUCUGGAGGUGGAAAGCUCCGACGGUCAAGGAUGGGCUCGCGGCCUAUCAGCUUGUUGGUGAGGUAACGGCUCACCAAGGCUUCGACGGGUAGCCGGCCUGAGAGGGCGACCGGCCACACGUGGGACUGAGAUACCGGCCCAGACUCCGUAGGAG